GUCCCGAAACGGCAAACCAGGUGAAAAUCUGGGACGCAAAGCCACGGGUCUACGAAUUGGUGACUAGUGACCAGUGACCGGUAAAUAAAAAAUAGACCGGUUACUGGCUGUGGACCACUGGUCGCUGAUUUACGACAGCCGGGUUACCGAA
rnacentral:ncRNA from 1 species